AGAGUUUGAUCCUGGCUCAGGAUGAACGCUAGCGACAGGCCUAACACAUGCAAGUCGAGGGGCAGCACGGUGUAGCAAUACACGGGUGGCGACCGGCGCACGGGUGAGUAACGCGUAUGCAACCUGCCUACUACAAGGGGAUAACCCGUUGAAAGACGGACUAAUACCCUAUAAUACAGGGAAUCUGCAUGGAUAUAUUUGUUAAAGAUUUAUCGGUAGUAGAUGGGCAUGCGUUCCAUUAGCUUGUUGGUGAGGUAACGGCUCACCAAGGCAACGAUGGAUAGGGGAACUGAGAGGUUGAUCCCCCACACUGGAACUGAGACACGGUCCAGACUCCUACGGGAGGCAGCAGUGAGGAAUAUUCCGCAAUGGACGAAAGUCUGACGGAGCAACGCCGCGUGAGUGAUGAAGGUUUUCGGACUGUAAAGCUCUGUUGUUUAGGACGAAAGUGCCUGUUGCGAACAGUUACAGGUAUUGACGGUACUAAACGAGGAAGCCACGGCUAACUACGUGCCAGCAGCCGCGGUAA
rnacentral:rRNA from 1 species